rnacentral:rRNA from 1 species
CGUGCAUAACACAUUCAAGUCGAACGGAAGUAGCAAUACUUCAGUGGCGGACGGGUGAGUAACGCGUAAGCAAUCUGCCUCCGUGUGCGGGAUAACAGUUGGAAACGGCUGCUAAUACCGCAUGAUGCAGUGAAACCGCAUGAUUUUACUGCCAAAGAUUUAUUGCACGGAGAUGAGCUUGCGUCCGAUUAGAUAGUUGGCGGGGCAACGGCCCACCAAGUCGACGAUCGGUAGCCGGACUGAGAGGUUGAACGGCCACAUUGGAACUGAGAACGGUCCAGACUCCUACGGGAGGCAGCAGUGGGGAAUAUUGGGCAAUGGACGAAAGUCUGACCCAGCGACGCCGCGUGAGGGAUGAAGAUCUUCGGAUUGUAAACCUUUGUCAACAGGGACGAAGCAAGUGACGGUACCUGUGGAGGAAGCCACGGCUAACUACGUGCCAACAAAA